rnacentral:rRNA from 1 species
AACACAUGCAAGUCGAACGAGGAUCAACUCGGAAGGGCUCGGCCCGGAAAGGUUGAUUCGAGUGGCGGACGGGUGAGUAACGCGUGAGCAACCUGUCCCAGACAGGGGGAUAACACUUGGAAACAGGUGCUAAUACCGCAUAAGACCACGAGAUCACAUGUUCUUGAGGUAAAAAGGAGAAAUCCGGUUUGGGGUGGGCUCGCGUCCGAUUAGCUAGUUGGAGGGGUAACGGCCCACCCAAGGCGACGAUCAGUAGCCGACUUGAGAGAGUGAUCGGCCACAUUGGGACUGAGACACGGCCCAAACUCCUACGGGAGGCAGCAGUAGGGAAUAUUGCACAAUGGGGAAACCCUGAUGCAGCGACGCCGCGUGAAGGAUAGAAGUAUUUCGGUAUAGUAAACUUCUAUCAGCAAGGAAGAAAAUGACGGUACUUGACUAAGAACGCCCCGGACUAAAUACGUGCCAGCCGCCGC